CCUACGGGUGGCAGCAGUGGGGAAUAUUGGACAAUGGGCGAAAGCCUGAUCCAGCCAUGCCGCGUGUGUGAAGAAGGCCUUCGGGUUGUAAAGCACUUUCAGUGGGGAAGAAAGCCUUGGGGCUAAUACCCUCGAGGAAGGACAUCACCCACAGAAGAAGCACCGGCUAACUCCGUGCCAGCAGCCGCGGUAAUACGGAGGGUGCGAGCGUGAAUCGGAAUUACUGGGCGUAAAGCGCGCGUAGGCGGUCUGAUAAGCCGGUUGUGAAAGCCCCGGGCUCAACCUGGGAACGGCAUCCGGAACUGUCAGGCUAGAGUGCAGGAGAGGAAGGUAGAAUUCCCGGUGUAGCGGUGAAAUGCGUAGAGAUCGGGAGGAAUACCAGUGGCGAAGGCGGCCUUCUGGACUGACACUGACGCUGAGGUGCGAAAGCGUGGGUAGCAAACAGGAUUAGAUACCCUAGUAGUC
rnacentral:rRNA from 1 species